ACAGGAAGUGAUCAUCUCUCUGGUUCCUCCACUAACAGGAAGUGAUCAUCUCUCUGGUUCCCUCCACUAACAGGAAGUGAUCAUCUCUCUGGUUCCUCCACUAACAGGAAGUGAUCGUCUCCACUAAUGAACCCCUUUAUGAUUGAUGAAGUGUGAAUGUAAUCAGCAGCAGUAAGAAGCUAACGUUAGGCUAUAAACGGAGUUUAAACACAACGAGGCUGUGAGGAGGACGAGACGGCGUGAUGACGUUUAGUCGUCUCUGGUAGAAACCGUUUCCUGUCUGAUGUCAUCUUAAUGAGCUCUGAGAGCAGCCACAGGCUCACCUGUCCUAGUUGACUCUGAACAGCAGAGGCUGAGCAGCAGCGACAGCCCCCAGGCCAGCAGUAUGAAGGUGUUCCAGCGUUGCGUGGCGCCGCUGCGAUGCGCCAGCAGGGGGCAGCAGAUGGCGUAGUGGCGGUCCAUCGUCAUGGCGACGAUCAUGUAGGAGGAGGCGAACAUCCCGAGGACCUGCAGUAUUUCAUGUUUAAAUAUCACGGUUCUCGUCAACAUUGCGACUCCCCUACCUGGAACAGCGCCACCACCAGGUCGGCCAGACAGAGGUUGAGCAUGAACUGGUGCAGCGGGUUGUGGUGGCGUCUCCGCCUCAGCAACAC